AUACUUACCUGGUGCCGGGCUUUCUGACGAUCAAUUAGGUCGGGGCCCCGUGUCGAGGCCUUACCAUUGCACUGCGGUUGGCUGAAACACGCCACUACCCCAAACCGGGGCAGAUGGGGCAUGUAAUUUCUGGUAGUGGGGUUCGGCGUGCGCGCCAGCCCCUU
rnacentral:snRNA from 1 species